rnacentral:piRNA from 1 species
UGCUUGUCAUCAUUACAGUGA